GUGAUUCUCCUGUCUCAGCCUCUCCAGUAGCUGGGAUUACAGAAAGAGAAGGCAUGUGAAGAGACAGACACAUACACAGAGAGACUCCCUGCAAGGACUGCAGUUAUGCUGCCUCCAGCCAAGCCACUACCAGAGGCCAGGAGAGAGGCUUGGAAGAGAUCCUGCCCCAGGAUCCUCAGAGGGAACAUGGCCCUGCUGACUCCUUGAUCUUGGACUUCUGGCACCUCCAUAACUGUGAGAUAAUAAAUUGCUGUUGCUCUAAGCCA